UAUUUGUGUACAACGCGCCGCUCCUUCCGGCAUGACGGCACCGACGCCCUUGCUGAAGACUUGCGCUAGUGUGUUCAAGCCGCAAGUUAGAACACGCCGCUCUCGAAGCCCAUGAUUGUGCUUCCUCAAAAAAAAAAAAAAAGAAUGUGAUAACCAGACCAAACAAAUGUGCAUUGGUUUCUCAGAAGCCUUCUCGAUCGACAAAAACUACUACACUUUCAUUGUUUUACCCUGGAUGAACGGUUUCCCGUUGGGAAACCAGAACGCUGGCAGAUACUAUCGUGAAGCUGAAACAAUAGGCGCUACUCAAAGCACAGGAACACUUUAAGCAUAACCACGUCUCAUCUCAGGUGCAGUAAAUGGGAGUAUGACGUCCUUAUAUUUCCGAAAUUGUGCUACUUUUCAUGCUAGAGCUGUAAUAUUGUAAAGUCAUACACGCGCAUAAUUCUUUUUCAGCUAACUCAAAUUCAAGAAAGACUUGUCGUAAUCACAAGUACCAGGAAUUUUGGGGUCCAGGCGUGCUUUUCUAUGAUAAAACAAAAGGACGGGCGCAAUCGCCAAUACGAAGUGACUUACAGAGACGGCCGUGGACAGAAGUGAGUGCCCCCACUGACAUGGAUCUCCAAACUUGCCAUUUGCAGGCACAAAAUAUUUGUGUGAGCGUAACGAUGAUUCAUCAUUUCCCGUCUUUCUUGUACAGGGCCAUAUUUUCUACCCCACUGACUACAGCAACAACUGCCCCACAUAAUGAACCCAAUGCAGUGAACUUCAAGCUUUUAAAUGGUGCUCCAGAUUCACAUUUCAAGAUCCUGUAUAUUAGCCCCGGGAACGACUGCAUCAUCCUCAUCAAAUAUCCAACGGAGGGAAAUUUACGACAGUGUAUGGAGCUGCGGCCGAUUAGCAGAGUCGACGAACCCAUGCCACGAGACUGCCAAAAGGUCUUCGUGGAACAAUGCAGCAGUCAAUUUACUCAGGUCUAUGAAAAAGGGCAUUUCUGGGAUCUGAUAAGUUCCAAUGGGAAUUAAUUUGGUUCCUGAUAAAAGCACCUUGUGCUAACAGGUAUAUUGUGGGCAGGGGAAAUGCAGGAAUAAAAAAAUUGUUUAUUGUCGCAUUCA